CAAAUAUCUGCUUACAUCCUGUGGUAGAAAACUCAAACACAAACUCAAGCUACCAAAAGACAGUGAUUUAAACAGCUGCUAGGUCAGCAGUAUGAAAAUGAAA